AACGAACGCUGGCGGCAUGCCUAACACAUGCAAGUCGAACGAGACCUUCGGGUCUAGUGGCGCACGGGUGCGUAACGCGUGGGAACCUGCCCUUAGGUUCGGAAUAACUCCCCGAAAGGGGUGCUAAUACCGGAUAAUGUCUUCGGACCAAAGAUUUAUCGCCUUUGGAUGGGCCCGCGUUGGAUUAGCUAGUUGGUAGGGUAAAAGCCUACCAAGGCGACGAUCCAUAGCUGGUCUGAGAGGAUGAGCAGCCACACUGGGACUGGGACACGGCCCGGACUCCUACGGGAGGCAGCAGUGGGGAAUAUUGGACAAUGGGCGAAAGCCUGAUCCAGCAAGGCCGCGUGAGUGAUGAAGGCCUUAGGGUUGUAAAGCUCUUUUACCCGGGAUGAUAAUGACAGUACCGGGAGAAUAAGCACCGGCUAACUCCGUG
rnacentral:rRNA from 1 species